UUUCCAAACACGAAACGGAACGGGCUCUCUGUUUCUCGCGAGAAUAUUGUAUCGUUUAUUGCAUUGUUUCGUGUAAUAUAAAUAUAGUUAUAAAUUAAUUAUUUAUCGUGAUUAGCGUGAAAAUUUUGCAUAAAAGUGCAUUAUGGAAGAACGAGUGUGACAAAGUGGAUGCAGCAAUGUUAUAUAUACAUAAUUUUUUUAAUAUCACUUUGAAAUCAUUAAAUAUUCAAUAUUUUUUUCGUUGUUUUAAAUAUUAAACUUUAUACUGGCACGGGAUUGAAUUAAAAAUUUUAAAUUAAAGUGUUUAAUUUUUAAUUCUUUAUCGCAUAUUUAUUGUACAAAAUAUCCCCGGAUGAAAUUGUUUUGAAAAUUGAAAAAAAUGUUGAAACUUUUGAGAAUUAAUUUCACUCUCUCAUUUCUCGUUCCAAAAAAAAAUUGCUUCGUGUAUAACGUAUUAUACAUACGUAUAAACUUUCAGUAAAAUCAUAUUCGGAUAAGAUGAAUUUCUUCGAAUUUGUAACCGAAUCAUUUGAUACGUGAAAAUCCCCACAAAAUUUUCCACAAAAUCAAUCAGAUACCUAUUAAAAAUCCCACACGAUUCGUUGAUUCAGAACUUGAUAAUUUCAUCUUCGAUCAUACACAACGAGACAACAAUCGACCGAGAACAAAUAUUAGCUUUCGGUAUCGGCGAACAGUUAGAAACCGAUAGAGUCUCAAAAGCUUGAUUCCUGGAAUAAGAUUAAUUAAUCGAUCGAUGUUAUUCGUUUGCGUCUCGUUGAUAAAAUCCGCGUGGCGCGUAAUCUGAUCACGCGCUCGCAAAGUAGGAAGGCGGCCGCAAAUACCGGUCGUCACGUUCUGGGGCUUAAGGGCGGACACGCGCAGGUGAAUCGUGCGAAACACCGCGAAACUUGGUCCGCGUGGUCCGCUUCGGUUCUAGUUUAAAAAUCGUUUGGAUAGUGGAGCGUUGCGCGUGGAUGCAUAUUUAUACGGAUGAAAUCGAGCGAUUAAGGGGGUCGAUUGUAACCCGGAAUGGAAAAAAAAAAAAAAAUUGCGGUCGUUUCCGGGGAUCGAUCGUUAAAUGGAUUUGUUGUUCUAUCUCGACAAUGGAGGGAGGGAGGGUACUGUGUUGGAGCUUGUUUGGACCAGAAAAGAGGGAAAUGUGAUUAUCGAGCGAAUAAAUUGAAAGUUUAUUCGUAUGGUGGACAUUUGUUUGUUUGUGUGUUAGCUUGUUUGACUGGAAAAUCGUUUUGGCUCCAAAUUUGAAGAUUGAUCGAGCGUUAAAUGAUGAAAUUUACUUAGAUAUCUAGACAGGUUUGCACCGACCUACAGACGCGCCAUCCUCCAACACUUAUCUCUACAUAUUACUGCAGAGAGUGAUUUAAUACAGGGAACGAUUUCUUCCCUCGAAUUCACGAUACAAGAAGCGUGCCUUCCAUAUGGAGAGUAAUAAUCUUGGUUGGUCUCUGAAAGAAGGUAAAAGGGAUGCUCCGAGGAAGAAGAGACGUUUCAUCAUUCGGCACGUGUGUACUCUACGGCAGUCAUUACCAACUGGCCUCGUUAAAAAGUACACGUUGGAUCAAUGAGGCCGGGACACCUUGUUAAUCUUGCCCCCGGUCACGUUUCUAUCCCUGCUGGUCAUCAUCGGGGAUAUAAAGCACACGUGUAUGAAAGAUUUCACAUUUCACUUUCGACUGUUUCUGAAAACUUGUUUCUUCGUUUACUCGAUCUUCUUUGUCUUGAAAGAAGAAGAAUCUCGCGAUUUCAAAGAUAUUCGAUCGAACAAUAAACUUGGAAUUCUUGAAUUCCUGCGAAUUUCAUAAAUAAUUAAACAACAAAGAAAAUUUGAUAGAAAUUAUUAUUUCGGUAUGAAACAAAUCGAUCGCAUUCAUUUCUAAAAAAUCAAACAAAAUUGUACUUCCGUUUCUUUUCAAUCUCUUUGCUUUAUAAUAGAAGAAAAAUCCAAUGAUUUCCAGAGUUGCUAAUUAAAACAAACUUCGAUCGCUAUCGCAUAAGAGAUAUAAUUAUAUAUAUAAAAAAAAAGGAAAAUAAUCGAAAUAAAAAAUACCACACAUUUUAUAGAUUCAAUCAGAUCCUAUUUCGUUUAACAUCGAUAGGGCGGAUACUUGGUUUAUUUUCAUAAAUAAUUCAAUAUUACUCCGUCUCGAUUCAAUUUAAUCCCCCCUUCGGCCAGUUACGCGUCUUCAUCCACGCCGUCCACGUCGGACAGACAAAAAGGAAAAGAAGAAAAGAAAAAAAAAAGGAAUACUUCAUCGAGCUUUGUUUUGCCGUGGAAUUAAGCGGCAAAAAGUCACGGUACACAAACACACACGGCGAGCUUUCUAGAUGCCCCCUGGAUGCCACACAGUGUUACACGCUUCCCUCCCCUCCUUUGCCUGUCCGCCGUGUGUCUCGCGAGUGGUAAGCAGCAGCCUCGCUACACGUAGAGUCUUGUCACCGGUCCGGAGGACUGGUUAGAGAGGAGGCGCUUAUCGCGAGCAACGAUCUCACUGACAGCCGCCAAUUAAAACAUGCUAACGAGCUGCUGAUCUCGCGAUAUCUCGAAGCGGGGCCUAAUUAAACUCCCGCCAUGCGGAGGGGGAAAGGUGGGAGGGGAAGGGAGGAGGGGAGGGAGGAUUCAGACGCGAAGGGGAUCGGCGAGGAACGACAAGACAGAAUCUACGAGAUCUCGGUGUGCGCCUAGACUUUAUCGUCCCCAAGGUCUUCGAGCCUGAUCCCAGCCAGGCAGCUGAUCUCUACUCUCCUGAACUUUAACAAACCUAUUUCCAACACACUCCAAUUACCAGGACACGUCUAAUCGAGGGGAGAGGGGAGAGGGGAUCUGAGAGGAAAAGGUGUAUCGAUGACAGUCGAUGUCCGGGGGAAGAAUGCUGGGGCAGGAUUAGGGAGAUGGAGAUAUUGAAAGUUGUUAGAUGAGUGUUUUUUUUUUUUUUUUUAGCUGUUGAUAAUUAUUUCGUAUAGGAAGACAGGUGUAACCUACGAUUUGAUUUUGAUGUCUUGAUUUUGUCGAAAAUUAUUUCAGAUAAAACAAUUGAAUGGUAUCGAGGAGAUUAUAUUAUAGUGUUAUUAAUUUUUUUCGAGAGUCAUAUAUAUCUAAUUAAAAUUAUUAGAUUCGAUUUGGUGAUGUUACGUUGGUCUC
rnacentral:lncRNA from 1 species